rnacentral:rRNA from 1 species
AUUGAACGCUGGCGGCAGGCUUAACACAUGCAAGUCGAGCAGGGUGAUGGUGCUUGCACUAUCACUUAGCGGCGGACGGGUGAGUAAUGCUUAGGAAUCUGCCUAUUAGUGGGGGACAACAUCUCGAAAGGGAUGCUAAUACCGCAUACGUCCUACGGGAGAAAGCAGGGGAUCACUUGUGACCUUGCGCUAAUAGAUGAGCCUAAGUCGGAUGAGCUAGUGGGUGGGGUAAAGGCCUACCAAGGCGACGAUCUGUAGCGGGUCUGAGAGGAUGAUCCGCCACACUGGGACUGAGACACGGCCCAGACUCCUACGGGAGGCAGCAGUGGGGAAUAUUGGACAAUGGGGGGAACCCUGAUCCAGCCAUGCCGCGUGUGUGAAGAAGGCCUUAUGGUUGUAAAGCACUUUAAGCGAGGAGGAGGCUCUUUUGGUUAAUACCCAAGAUGAGUGGACGUUACUCGCAGAAUAAGCACCGGCUAACUCUGUGCCAGCAGCCGCAGUAA